CUCUGCAUUUCUAAUGGCACAAUGUCAUGGUGGCCUCCCUCUCCUUCCCCUCCCUGAACUCCUUUGGAAUUUACACUCCUAGGCCAUGUCUUAGCUCCUCUGCUAUUCUGUAAUCUCCUUAGGGCAGGGGCUCACAUAAUCCCUAAGAAAAGUGGGCGAAUGGAUGAACGGAAGGCAGGUAAGACACUGGCUCUACAGCCGCAUCACAGCCUGUCCCGUCAAUGUAACACUGGAGGUCACUGUUCCGUUCUCAAAAACCUGCGCACUGAUUACAGAGCCUCAGUUUGCAGGCAUGAGGACCGAACAUGACUUCAAGGGCUGGAGAAGGCAGGAAUGGAGUCCCCACACCUCCACAAAGGUGGGUGGUGCCGAGAAGCCUGAUGAGUCUCCACCACAACUGCCUUAGUGAGCAGCAGGAAGUGCUAUGUUCAUGGAAAAAUCAGCUCACAGAGGCUGGGGCUCAAUAAACCCUGAUUGCCAAGGUCGGAUGAGGCAGGAGGACAGCUAAUGCUUCUGAAUCAUCCAGAAGAUCACUCCACGGUGCCAGGCAACAAACUUGUCUGGCUAUUGAAGGAGCUAUUGUUUCCAUCUGCAUUUAAAAAUAAUGCAUAGGGAAAGGGCCUACUUGGUCUUGUGUCUUGAAAUCUGGAUACGAAAAAUGAAAGAUGCCAUUCUCAGCUCUCAACAAUGAUGCUCCUGCCACUGAAUAAUGACGGUGUGCUCUGCUGUUCCCCCAGAACUGGGGCUACAUGUGUGCUACGGUACCCACAGCUCCUCUUCUCCCUCUGUGGCCAGAGCACUCACUUAAGAGAGUCCAGGCUGGGAGCAGUGAGGUAGUCCUUGGCCAUGAAUGAGAAUGAAACCAGCUGGUGUCAAGCUUGUCCUGUAGGCCUUGCAGGACACCCUCUUAUCAAGCAAGUUCUACAGCACUGACCGAUCAGGACCAGAGCUGAUCAUCCUUCCAAGAUGCUAGAUCUGAGACCCUUCCCGACCCUAGGCCUCUGACUGAGCAAGGCUACGGCCCCAGAGGGAUGGCGUCAAUCCAGGAGGGGUUAACUAAAGAGAACAAAGAGAGCCCCGGCAUUCUCUAAUAUGGCAAGGCCAUCUGCCAGCUGUGAUACUGCCUGCAGGAGAGGGGAGGGCAACAGUAUGAGUUACUGCACACCUGUGUGCACAAGUGCCCAUCAUAAGCACCUGGACAGCUCCCAAGAUCUGCUGAGGACUGAUGCCGCCCACAGCUGGGUGGUGCUACUUCACUCAGAAGACACAGAAAGACUUUAUCGCUCUAUUUAAGUAUCACUUCCAAAGGCACAGGCUGACUUCAGUGAACUCACCAUUCAACAGCCUAACAACUAGAUUAACAAGGAAGACAACUGAGCUUGGAUAUCUUCCGAACCCAUUUCCCAUUUGCCCUGAGAGUACUGUUCUGGCAGUGAGCUGCACUUUUUUUCUCUAAACAGGAAAUGGGUUAAAGCUCCUCUCUCAUUCCCCUUUUUGUUGAAUGACACUGACGUGAAGUUUUUGUUUUUUAAUAUAUGUGCCUUAAAAAUGUAUUAUAGAAGUAUUAGAUGUUCAUAUAUCAGGUAUUUUUAAGUUGGUGACUUUUUCUUAAUAACAUUUUGCUUCCUCGCAUCCCCUUCUGUUCCUAGAUUGUCAACUGAGAGAAGAUUCCUGGGUGCCUUUCUCACGGGCCAAAGGAUGGCUUUGGAGACAACAGAGCCACGGAGGCGUCUGAAGAUGAGGAGGUGACGGGAAGGUUUUAAGUAAUCCAGCUGCGGUGUGGAGGAA
rnacentral:lncRNA from 1 species